GGAUGCGAUCAUACCAGCACUAAAGCAUCGGAUCCCAUCAGAUCUCCGAAGUUAAGCGUGCUUGGGCGAGAGUUGUACUAGGAUGGGUGACCUCCUGGGAAGUCCUCGUGUUGUAUCCCUCC
rnacentral:rRNA from 1 species